GACGAACGCUGGCGGCGUGCCUAAUACAUGCAAGUAGAACGCUGAAGGAGGAGCUUGCUUCUCUGGAUGAGUUGCGAACGGGUGAGUAACGCGUAGGUAACCUGCCUGGUAGCGGGGGAUAACUAUUGGAAACGAUAGCUAAUACCGCAUAACAGUAGAUAUCGCAUGAUAUCUACUUGAAAGGUGCAAUUGCAUCACUACCAGAUGGACCUGCGUUGUAUUAGCUAGUUGGUGAGGUAACGGCUCACCAAGGCGACGAUACAUAGCCGACCUGAGAGGGUGAUCGGCCACACUGGGACUGAGACACGGCCCAGACUCCUACGGGAGGCAGCAGUAGGGAAUCUUCGGCAAUGGACGGAAGGCUGACCGAGCAACGCCGCGUGAGUGAAGAAGGUUUUCGGAUCGUAAAGCUCUGUUGUAAGAGAAGAACGAGGGUGAGAGUGGAAAGUUCACACUGUGACGGUAUCUUACCAGAAAGGGACGGCUAACUACGUG
rnacentral:rRNA from 1 species